rnacentral:rRNA from 1 species
GACGAACGCUGGCGGCGUGCUUAACACAUGCAAGUCGAACGGCAAGGCCCUGCUUUUGUGGGGUGCUCGAGUGGCGAACGGGUGAGUAACACGUGAGUAACCUGCCCUUGACUUUGGGAUAACUUCAGGAAACUGGGGCUAAUACCGGAUAGGAGCUCCUGCUGCAUGGUGGGGGUUGGAAAGUUUCGGCGGUUGGGGAUGGACUCGCGGCUGAUCAGCUUGUUGGUGGGGGAGUGGCUUACCCAGGCUUUGACGGGUAGCCGGCCUGGGAGGGUGACCGGCCACAUUGGGACUGCGAUACGGCCCAGACUCCUACGGGAGGCAGCAGUGGGGAAUAUUGCACAAUGGGCGGAAGCGUGAUGCAGCAACGCCGCGUGCGGGAUGACGGCCUUCGGGUUGUAAACCGCUUUCGCCUGUGACGAAGCGUGAGUGACGGUAAUGGGUAAAGAAGCACCGGCUAACUACGUG